ACAUGAAGCAAACGCCACAGAUGACGUUGUUGAAUAGUAUUAUUUAUAUUUUAACAUUUCAGUUUAACAUUAAAGACAAUCAGUCACAUGAACAAGGAUUUAUACAACAGUCAUUGUUGAGGUUGAAACUUUUGUAAAGCCUACCUAGAAACAAAAGAUAAAAUGUUAUAAUUAGUACAGGAGGAUGAACAUACAUAGUAUAUAGCGACAUGUAGGAUAAGUGGCAAGCUUCUCACAUUCUCUCUUAGCUGGUAAUCAAGGAUUUAUUGACCCCUCUUUUUUUAAGCCAACUGUAAUGCCAGACAGUUCUGAGCCCUCACUCGCUAAUUUUGUGUGCCCUCAGUUACUUAACCAGUCUCUGCUAAGCUGUCGAAGCAUGUAAGCAUUAGUGGGCAGAAUACAGUCUUGUAAUAUGGAUGUAUGAGGUAGCACACAUGGAGCACUGGACCGCCUCAUGGCAUCUCAAAGAUUAUAUUGUUAC